AGAACGAACGCUGGCGGCAUGCCUAACACAUGCAAGUCGAACGCUUCCGGGGCUUCGGUCGCGGAGGAGUGGCGCACGGGUGAGUAGCGCGUGGGAACCUGCCCUGUUGUGGGGGAUAACCGAGGGAAACUUCGGCUAAUACCGCAUACGCCCCGGGACUUGGUCUUCGGAUUAGGUCUGGGGGGAAAGAUUGAUCGCAGCAGGAGGGGCCCGCGUCGGAUUAGCUGGUUGGUGGGGUAACGGCUCACCAAGGCGAUGAUCCGUAGCUGGUCUGAGAGGAUGAUCAGCCACACUGGGACUGAGACACGGCCCAGACUCCUACGGGAGGCAGCAGUGGGGGAAUAUUGGACAAUGGGGGCAACCCUGAUCCAGCAAUGCCGCGUGAGUGAUGAAGGCCUUAGGGUUGUAAAGCUCUUUCGCCCGCGACGAUGAUGACGGUAGCGGGAGAAGAAGCCCCGGCUAACUUCGUGCCAGCAGCCGCGGU
rnacentral:rRNA from 1 species